rnacentral:rRNA from 1 species
UACGAAGGGGGCUAGCGUUGCUCGGAAUUACUGGGCGUAAAGGGCGCGUAGGCGGCUUUCUAAGUCGGGGGUGAAAUCCUGGAGCUCAACUCCAGAACUGCCUUCGAUACUGGAGAGCUCGAGUCCGGGAGAGGUGAGUGGAACUGCGAGUGUAGAGGUGAAAUUCGUAGAUAUUCGCAAGAACACCAGUGGCGAAGGCGGCUCACUGGCCCGGUACUGACGCUGAGGUGCGAAAGCGUGGGGAGCAACAGG